UUUACAACAGCAGUGUGUGAAGAAGUAGGCUGUGAGGAGUCUUCCGUCUUGUCCCAUGUCUGACUACUAUCAUAAAGAAACUACAGAUCUGAUCAAAUUUUGAAGUCUAUACAUCAAUGAACUUCAUGUUCACCUGAAGCUGGAGACAGACUCUCCUUCAGCUAUUGAUCCCAUUAUCUCUUCAAGAAGGAAAAGGCAACAUCUUUAAAAAUACUUAAGUACCAAGCAAGUGACCCUUCUAAGCUGGAAUGCCACCCCACUAAUGAUGCAGAGAAGAAAAACAGCCGUUUCUGGCAGAGUUUGCAG
ensembl:lncRNA